AGCAGCAUGGCGCAGUGGAAGCGCGCGGGGCCCAUAUACGGGAAGGAAUGUCUAUAUCUACCCCGAGGUCACUUGAUCGAGACAAGUUGCUGCUA